UACGGGGGGAGCAAGCGUUGUUCGGAUUUACUGGGCGUAAAGGGCGCGUAGGCGGCGCAACAAGUCACUUGUGAAAUCUCCGGGCUUAACCCGGAGCGGCCAAGUGAUACUGUCGUGCUAGAGUGCGGAAGGGGCUACUGGAAUUCCCGGUGUAGUGGUGAAAUGCGUAGAGAUCGGGAGGAACACCAGUGGCGAAGGCGGCCUUCUGGGCAUUUCCUGACGCUGAGGCGCGAAAGCGUGGGGAGCGAACCGG
rnacentral:rRNA from 1 species